rnacentral:tRNA from 1 species
AAGGAAUUAUGCCUGAGUACUAAAGGACCACUUUGAUAGAGUGCUUUACGGGGGUUAGAAUCCCCCUAAUUCCUUA